GAAGAAGAAUGCUCAAGCCUACUGGACAAGACGACCAGACGUUUGGUGUGAACGUGGAACAUGCUGCCAGGAAGGUGUAAGACAGAAGGUGUAUGUCUCCUCGCUGGGAUCCAGCCCCUUUCAGCACCUAGGGCUCAACUCGUUGUCUGAACCUGAUCAAGACUCCCACCUUCACAGUACAGAGGCUCUGACAGCUAACAGGCCAUUGGGAACAGCGACCCGGUGACGCGGCCACUC